rnacentral:rRNA from 2 species
UUAAAGUUGUUGCAGUUAAAAAGCUCGUAGUUGAACUUCAGACCUGGUCGAGUGGUCCGCCUAACGGUGUGUACUGCUUGACUGGGCCUUACCUCUUGGUGAGCCGGCGUGCCCUUUAUUGGUGUGCGUCGGGGAACCAGGACUUUUACCUUGAGAAAAUUAGAGUGUUCAAAGCAGGCCUAUGCCCGAAUACAUUAGCAUGGAAUAAUA